UUUCGCAAUGCCCGAAAGGGUGACGAAGCGACGCCGCGUGGGUGAGGAAGGCCUUCGGGUUGUAAAGCCCUGUCAGGAGUUAAGAAAUGUAAGUGCGCUAAUAUCGCAUUUAUUUGACGAAGGCUCCAAAGGAAGCCACGGCUAACUCUGUGCCAGCAGCCGCGGUAAUACAGAGGUGGCAAGCGUUGUUCGGAAUUAUCGGGCGUAAAGAGCACGUAGGUGGGUUUGUAAGUCAGAUGUGAAAGCCUUCUGUUCAACGGAAGAAUUGCAUCUGAAACUGCGAGUCUUGAGUGUAGGAGGGGAGAAUGGAACUUCUGGUGGAGCGGUGAAAUGCGUAGGUAUCAGAAGGAACGCCGGCGGCGAAAGCGAUUCUCUGGCCUAUUACUGACACUGAGUGUGCGAAAGUUAGGGGAGCAAACGGGAUUAGAUACCCCGGUAGUCCUAACUGUAAACGAUGGGCACUAAGUAGAGGGGUUUU
rnacentral:rRNA from 1 species